rnacentral:rRNA from 1 species
GAUGAACGCUGGCGGCGUGCCUAACACAUGCAAGUCGAGCGAUCUUCUUCGGAAGAGAGCGGCGGGCGGGUGAGUAACGCGUGGGUAACCUGCCCUGUACACACGGAUAACAUACCGAAAGGUAUUCUAAUACGAGAUAAUAUGCUUUUAUCGCAUGGUAGAAGUAUCAAAGCUCCGGCGGUACAGGAUGGACCCGCGUCUGAUUAGCUAGUUGGUAAGGUAACGGCUUACCAAGGCGACGAUCAGUAGCCGACCUGAGAGGGUGAUCGGCCACAUUGGAACUGAGACACGGUCCAAACUCCUACGGGAGGCAGCAGUGGGGAAUAUUGCACAAUGGGCGAAAGCCUGAUGCAGCAACGCCGCGUGAGCGAUGAAGGCCUUCGGGUCGUAAAGCUCUGUCCUCAAGGAAGAUAAUGACGGUACUUGAGGAGGAAGCCCCGGCUAACUACGUGCCAGCCGCCGCCGUAACAC